AUACAUGCAAGUCGAACGCGUCUCCGUUAAUGAUUUUAGGUGCUUGCACUUGAAAGAUUUAACAUUGAGACGAGUGGCGAACUGGUGAGUAACACGUGGGUAACCUGCCCUUGAAGUAGGGGAUAACACUUGGAAACAGGUGCUAAUACCGUAUAACAACCAAAACCACCUGGUUUUGGUUUAAAAGACGGCUUCGGCUGUCACUUUAGGAUGGACCCGCGGCGUAUUAGCUUGUUGGUAAGGUAACGGCUUACCAAGGCGAUGAUACGUAGCCGACCUGAGAGGGUAAUCGGCCACAUUGGGACUGAGACACGGCCCAAACUCCUACGGGAGGCAGCAGUAGGGAAUCUUCCACAAUGGACGAAAGUCUGAUGGAGCAACGCCGCGUGAGUGAUGAAGGGUUUCGGCUCGUAAAACUCUGUUGUUGGAGAAGAACAGGUGUCAGAGUAACUGUUGACAUCUUGACGGUAUCCAACCAGAAAGCCACGGCUAACUACGUGCCAGCAGCCGCGGUAAUACGUAGGUGGCAAGCGUUGUCCGGAUUUAUUGGGCGUAAAGCGAGCGCAGGCGGUUUUUUAGGUCUGAUGUGAAAGCCUUCGGCUUAACCGGAGAAGUGCAUCGGAAACCGGGAGACUUGAGUGCAGAAGAGGACAGUGGAACUCCAUGUGUAGCGGUGAAAUGCGUAGAUAUAUGGAAGAACACCAGU
rnacentral:rRNA from 1 species